rnacentral:RNase_P_RNA from 1 species
AAUGUCGAAGUAAUCGCUGCAUAGAUUAUGAUCUAUUGUAGAGGAAAGUCCAUGCUCACACAUGUUGAGAUGCAUGUAGUGUUCGUGCUUAACGAAAUCAUAAGUUAAGGUAACUGUUUAGCAGUUAACGGCUGGUACCCUGCCUAAGUCUUAGGAUAUGGUAGGUUCACCUAUAAAAGUGCCACAGUGACGAAGUCAAAAUGGAAACAUUUUGAGUGGAACGAGGUAAACCCCACGAGUGAGCAACCCAAAUAUUGGUAGGGGCAUCUUCGAUUAGGGAAUUCAACCGAAAGAAGGACAAGUAUUACUACUUGUAGACAGAUGAUUACUCCUUGCGUACAAGGCUGACCACCGCUCGUAGUACUAAUAGGACAAAACAUGGCUUACUGAC